UGGGGAAUUUUGGACAAUGGGGGCAACCCUGAUCCAGCCAUGCCGCGUGCAGGACGAAGGCCUUCGGGUUGUAAACUGCUUUUGUACGGAACGAAAAGUCUUCGGUUAAUACCUGGGGAACAUGACGGUACCGUAAGAAUAAGCACCGGCUAACUACGUGCCAGCAGCCGCGGUAAUACGUAGGGUGCAAGCGUUAAUCGGAAUUACUGGGCGUAAAGCGUGCGCAGGCGGCCAUGCAAGACAGUGGUGAAAUCCCCGGGCUCAACCUGGGAACUGCCAUUGUGACUGCAUGGCUGGAGUGCGGCAGAGGGGGAUGGAAUUCCGCGUGUAGCAGUGAAAUGCGUAGAUAUGCGGAGGAACACCGAUGGCGAAGGCAAUCCCCUGGGCCUGCACUGACGCUCAUGCACGAAAGCGUGGGGAGCAAACA
rnacentral:rRNA from 1 species